AAGUCGUAACAAGGUUUCCGUAGGUGAACCUGCGGAAGGAUCAUUAACACGUAAUAAACCCCCCCGUGAACCUUCAGAAACCCGUUCUGGUGUACCCAGUGCAGCCCAGCAAUCCCGGUAAAUUAUUGUCAAACAGUUUUGAUUCGGGACUUCUGGCAAAUGCGUCACCAUUGAGCUGUUCAGUGUGGCAUGGCUUCCCCAAGGAGUCAGUGAAUGAAAGUGUCAUUGACUACGUAAGGAAGGCGCUUUACGAUUGCUAGAGGUCGAUUACCGGCCGGCGACUAUGUCACAGGUCCUCGAGACCCCUAAUAACCCCUGCCACCGAAACCCGGGUCUCGUUAAUUCGACGCCUAAAAAAUACUGAACAACUGUUAACAAUGGAUAUCUUGGUUCUC
rnacentral:misc_RNA from 1 species